rnacentral:rRNA from 1 species
CCUACGGGUGGCAGCAGUGGGGAAUAUUGGACAAUGGGGGGAACCCUGAUCCAGCCAUGCCGCGUGUGUGAAGAAGGCCCUCGGGUAAAGCACUUUCAGUGAGGAAGAACGCCUGGUGGUUAAUACCCAUCAGGAAAGACAUCACUCACAGAAGAAGCACUGGCUAACUCCGUGCCAGCAGCCGCGGUAAUACGGAGGGUGCGAGCGUUAAUCGGAAUUACUGGGCGUAAAGCGCGCGUAGGUGGCUUGAUAAGCCGGUUGUGAAAGCCCCGGGCUCAACCUGGGAACGGCAUCCGGAACUGUCAAGCUAGAGUGCAGGAGAGGAAGGUAGAAUUCCCGGUGUAGCGGUGAAAUGCGUAGAGAUCGGGAGGAAUACCAGUGGCGAAGGCGGCCUUCUGGACUGACACUGACACUGAGGUGCGAAAGCGUGGGUAGCAAACAGGAUUAGAUACCCUUGUAGUC